UCGCACCUACCGAUUGGACGAUCCGGCAAGAUGUUUGGAGUUGUGUCUUUUGCAGCAAUGUGAUUGAUGCGGCGAAGCUCCUCAAACCUUAUCGUCUAGAGGAAGGUG
rnacentral:rRNA from 1 species